AGUAAUGUCUGGGAAACUGCCUGAUGGAGGGGGAUAACUGCUGGAAACGGUAGCUAAUACCGCAUAACGUCGCAGGACCAGAGAGGGGGACCUUCGGGCCUCUUGCCAUCGGAUGUGCCCAGAUGGGAUUAGCUAGUAGGUGGGGUAACGGCUCACCUAGGCGACGAUCCCUAGCUGGUCUGAGAGGAUGACCAGCCACACUGGAACUGAGACACGGUCCAG
rnacentral:rRNA from 1 species